GACAGAGGGUGCAAACGUUGUUCGGAAUUACUGGGCGUAAAGGGCGCGUAGGCGGCGUGUCAAGUCAGGCGUGAAAGCCCCGGGCUCAACCUGGGAACCGCGCUUGAGACUGGCAUGCUCGAGUUCGGGAGAGGAUGGUGGAAUUCCCAGUGUAGAGGUGAAAUUCGUAGAUAUUGGGAAGAACACCGAUGGCGAAGGCAGCCAUCUGGACCGACACUGACGCUGAGGCGCGAAAGCGUGGGGAGCAAACAGG
rnacentral:rRNA from 1 species